AGUGAACGCUGGCGGUAGGCCUAACACAUGCAAGUCGAAUGGCAGCACAGGAGAGCUUGCUCUCUGGGUGGCGAGUGGCGGACGGGUGAGGAAUACAUCGGAAUCUGCCCAGUCGUGGGGGAUAACGUAGGGAAACUUACGCUAAUACCGCAUACGACCUUCGGGUGAAAGAGGGGGAUCGCAAGACCUCUCGCGAUUGGAUGAGCCGAUGUCGGAUUAGCUAGUUGGCGGGGUAAUGGCCCACCAAGGCGACGAUCCGUAGCUGGUCUGAGAGGAUGAUCAGCCACACUGGAACUGAGACACGGUCCAGACUCCUACGGGAGGCAGCAGUGGGGAAUAUUGGACAAUGGGCGCAAGCCUGAUCCAGCCAUACCGCGUGGGUGAAGAAGGCCUUCGGGUUGUAAAGCCCUUUUGUUGGGAAAGAAAUCUUUCAGGCUAAUACCCUGGGAGGAUGACGGUACCCAAAGAAUAAGCACCGGCUAACUUCGUG
rnacentral:rRNA from 1 species